rnacentral:rRNA from 1 species
GGUAGCAUAAUCAUUAGUCUUUUAAUUGAAGGCUUGUAUGAAUGGUUGGACAAAAAGUAAGCUGUCUCGGUUAUACAAUUUGAAUUUAACUUUUAAGUGAAAAGGCUUAAAUAACCUAAGGGGACGAUAAGACCCUAUAAAGCUUUACAAUAAAUUGAAUAUAUUAAAAUCUGUUAGUGUAACUUACUAUAUUUAGAGUUUGUUUCGUUGGGGCGACGAGAAUAUAAUGAAUAACUGUUCUUUUUAAAAAUAAACAAUAAUAAUUGGUUAAAGAUUGAUCCUUUAUUAAAGAUUAAAAGAUUAAGUUACUUUAGGGAUAACAGCGUAAUCUUCUUCAAGAGUUCAGAUCGACGAGAAGGGUUGCGACCUCGAUGUUGAAUUAAGGGAUCCUUGUGGUGCAGCAGCUAUAAAGGAAGGUCUGUUCGACC